UCUCAGGACACCUCGCCCUAACGCGAGGCGCAUAGACCUGGGAGGGUCGCUGAA
rfam:Devosia epidermidihirudinis strain E84 contig4, whole genome shotgun sequence.